UAAAAGCUGCCUGAAACCUGACUUCAGUUAGGCUCAAGUGUUUGCUCUGCACCCCUGUUCAACAUCGAAUGUGCUGUGGAAAACAGCAGUCAAGUAUUUUUCAGAAGCUUCUCAAGGUUAUUUAUCCUCUUCCACUGCUGUCUACUCAGUAUGGACAAGAUUUUACCAUGACUGAUGUCAAAAUUCAGUGCUUGUCAUGGCCACAGUAUCUGCCAAAGCUACAAGGAACAUCUGCUCCAGUCGAGUGAGGCCUGGCAGACUUGAGUGCAUCAGGUGGCUUGAAAGGACACUAGCAUGUUCUCGGCCAAACAUGAUCUUCAGAGCCCUGAGGUAUUUUAGACGUUUCUUCAGAAACAUAAGUGGCAUCUUGAUCUGCAGCAAGCAGUGCAUAUAGUGGCAGUGGGGGAAUUGAGUCUAUCUCUGUGUAGUCUCGAGUACCAUCUUUUCCAGCUGUGAUGAUGAAUUGUCUGUUCCAAAACCCAUUCUGAUCCUCCUGUGGACUCACAUUCAAGUAUACAAACAUGCAUGGAAAAUUCUUUGGAAACAAAACCAUUAUGCUGUAUGGG